UGAAGGGUGUGUUGGUAAUUCCAGAAAUAAAACCCUAUAUUUUCCAACUCAGGAAAACCAUUUACAGUUUCUACACCGAAACCACUCUCAGUUAGAACCACCGGCGAUGUCGCAGCAAGGUCAAAUUCCGAUAAACCCCAUGGUUCCUCAACAGAAUUCAGUGCCACCAAUCCCCAUGCAGCUUCCCAUGCCCAUGCACAUGCAGAUGCACAUGCCCAUACCUAUGCCCAUACCCAUGCAGAUGCAGAUGCAGAUGCCCCUCCCCAUGCCCCUCCAGAUUCCCUUCUCCGUCCAAGACGCCGCCGCAAACCCCUCCUCCGGGAAGCGCCGCCGAGAGGAUGAGGCUCCGGGCACCGUUGCUGCCGCAGAGCAGUCCGCGGCCAAGCGCGUUAAGGGACAGGACGUGAUAUUCAGGAUCGUCGUGCCCUCGCGCCAGAUCGGAAAGGUCAUCGGCAAAGAAGGUUGCCGCAUACAAAAGAUUCGGGAAGAGACCAAAGCCACCAUCAAAAUCGCUGAUGCUAUCGCUAGACAUGAAGAGCGUGUUAUCAUUAUUAGUUCUAAAGACAAUGAUGAAAAAGUUACCGAUGCAGAGAGAGCGUUGGAGCAAAUAGCUAAUUUAAUUUUAAAGGAAGAUGAUAGCAGUCUCGAUGCAUCAAAAGUUACUGCAGGACAUGUGGCUGCCAAUACAAUAAGACUUUUGAUUGCUGGGUCACAGGCUGGUGGAUUAAUUGGGAUGUCUGGUCAAAACAUUGAGAAGUUAAGGAACUCCUCUGGUGCCACAAUUACUGUUCUUGCACCAAAUCAGUUGCCUUUAUGUGCUUCUGCCCAUGAAUCUGACAGAGUAGUACAGUUAUCAGGUGACAUUCCUGCAGUAAUGAAGGCUUUGGAGGAGAUAGGUUGUCAGCUAAGGGAAAACCCCCCAAGACAAGUGAUUUCAAUCAGCCCUACAUACAAUUAUGCUGCAAUUCGACCUUCCCAACCAUAUCUUGACCCAACUUCAGGACAACCAAUCUUGCAGUUGACUAUGUUACAUUUGAGAUGCUGAUAUCGGAAACAAUGGUCGGGGGGUUGAUCGGCCGGUGCGGCUCAAACAUAUCAAGGAUCAGAAACGAGUCUGGGGCAAUGAUUAAGGUUUAUGGUGGAAAAGGUGAACAGAAGCAUAGGCAAAUUCAAUUCGGUGGUAGUGCUCAACAGGUAGCUUUGGCAAAACAGAGAGUUGAUGAAUAUAUAUACUCUCAGUUGAUACAACAAACUGGCACCCAACAAUCAGCGUAAGUAUUUAUUUUAUGACUUUGGUCAUUGGAAAUUGUAAAAUUUUUUUAGUAAACAAGGAGGAGCCACCUCAUUGUAAUAACUAAGAUUCUUCUUUUUCUGUAAAAGCUUAACCCCAUUUUAAAAGGUGCCGUUUUAUGGUUCAUUGAUAGUGUAAAAUUUUUAAAAGUGUUAGUGGAUUAAAACUAAAAAGUUCUAUUAAGUGAUUUGCUCUAGAUGUUUUAGUUUGAGAUCCAACAAAUUUGAAAUGAAGUAUUGUCUAAUUUACAAUUUUUUGUGCCCUGCCAAAGUAGUUGAUUGUAAACUGUAAAGGAAAUUACAGCUCUAGCUUAAUAUAUGAUAUUUUGUUUCU